rnacentral:ncRNA from 1 species
CCUGACACCUUAGGCCGCCGCACAGUAAAGCGACGGCACCCCACCAAAAU